rnacentral:rRNA from 1 species
AUUGAACGCUGGCGGCAGGCCUAACACAUGCAAGUCGAGCGGAGCGGCGGACGGGUGAGUAAUGCCUAGGAAUGUGCCUGGUAGUGGGGGAGAAAGUUCGGAAACGGGCGCUAAUACCGCAUACUAUCAGAUGAGCCUAGGUCGGAAUAGCUCGUUGGUGGGGUAAGGGCAUACCAAGGCGACGAUCCGUAACUGGUCUGAGAGGAUGAUCAGUCACACUGGAACUGAGACACGGUCCAGACUCCUACGGGAGGCAGCAGUGGGGAAUAUUGGACAAUGGGCGAAAGCCUGAUCCAGCCAUGCCGCGUGUGUGAAGAAGGUCUUCGGAUUGUAAAGCACUUUAAGUUGGGAGGCGUUACCAACAGAAUAAGCACCGGCUAACUUCGUGCCAGCAGCCGCGGUAAUUC